rnacentral:rRNA from 1 species
AACGAACGCUGGCGGCAGGCCUAACACAUGCAAGUCGAGCGAGAACUUCGGUUCUAGCGGCGGACGGGUUAGUAACGCGUGGGAAUAUGCCCUUCACUACGGAAUAGUCCCGGGAAACUGGGUUUAAUACCGUAUACGCCCUUCGGGGGAAAGAUUUAUCGGUGAAGGAUUAGCCCGCGUUGGAUUAGGUAGUUGGUGGGGUAAUGGCCUACCAAGCCGACGAUCCAUAGCUGGUUUGAGAGGAUGAUCAGCAACACUGGGACUGAGACACGGCCCAGACUCCUACGGGAGGCAGCAGUGGGGAAUAUUGCACAAUGGGCGAAAGCCUGAUGCAGCGACGCCGCGUGAGGGAUGACGGCCUUCGGGUUGUAAAGCUCUUUUGGCGGGGACGAUAAUGACGGUACCCGCAGAAUAAGCUCCGGCUAACUCCGUGCCAGCCGCC